GACGAACGCUGGCGGCGUGCUUAACACAUGCAAGUCGAACGGAAAGGCCCUGCUUUUGUGGGGUGCUCGAGUGGCGAACGGGUGAGUAACACGUGAGUAACCUGCCCUUGACUUUGGGAUAACUUCAGGAAACUGGGGCUAAUACCGGAUAGGAGCUCUUGCUGCAUGGUGGGGGUUGGAAAGUUUCGGCGGUUGGGGAUGGACUCGCGGCUUAUCAGCUUGUUGGUGGGGUAGUGGCUUACCAAGGCUUUGACGGGUAGCCGGCCUGAGAGGGUGACCGGCAACAUUGGGACUGAGAUACGGCCCAGACUCCUACGGGAGGCAGCAGUGGGGAAUAUUGCAAAAUGGGCGGAAGCCUGAUGCAGCAACGCCGCGUGCGGGAUGACGGCCUUCGGGUUGUAAACCGCUUUCGCCUGUGACGAAGCGUGAGUGACGGUAAUGGGUAAAGAAGCACCGGCUAACUACGUG
rnacentral:rRNA from 1 species